rnacentral:lncRNA from 1 species
GUCUUACGUAACUACAGUAUACUCUUUUAAACCAGGAAAUUAACACUGUGCAAUGCUAUUUGCUAAUAUCAGACCUGAUCCAAAUUUUGCUGGUUGAGCAUUCAUGUCUUUUCUCUGGACCAGGAUCCAGUCCAGGAUCACUGAUGGCAUUUAGUUGUCAUUCUUCUGUACUUUUUUUUUUUUUUAUGGUGCUGGGGGUUGAAUCUAGGGUUUUGCAUAUGCCGAGCACAUGCUCUACCACUGAGCUAAAUGCCAACCCUCUUUUCAUUUUUAAUAGCUGCAUACAAAGGGUCACUGUUUUGGAGCAGUAUAAUCCAGUAGAAUGUUCUACAAAAAUGUUUUCUAUCUGCCCUGUCCAAGAUGGUAUCCACUAGUGACCUGUGGCUAUUGAGCACUUUAAAUGUGGUUAGUGGGUCUGAGGAAAUGGAUUUUAAAUAUUAUCCUAUUUUAAUUGUUUGAAAAAAAUACAUGUAUACACAUUUGGUGGUGCUGGGGAUUGAGCCCAGUCCUUGGGCAUGCUAGGCAAGUGCUCUACCACUGAGCUACACCCCCCACCUCAGUCGUUUGAGAUGUAAAUAGACAAGUGACAACCACACUGGACCACAGAGCCAAUCUGAGCUUCGCUUUCAGGUGCCAGGCAAGCACAGGUUGUGGGGCUCGGUCACCCCAGCAGGAGAGUAG